rnacentral:rRNA from 1 species
UACGUAGGGUGCGAGCGUUGUCCGGAAUUAUUGGGCGUAAAGAGCUCGUAGGCGGUGUGUCGCGUCGGCCGUGAAAACCUGGGGCUCAACUCUGGGCGUGCGGUCGAUACGGGCAUCACUUGAGUUCGGCAGGGGAGACUGGAAUUCCUGGUGUAGCGGUGAAAUGCGCAGAUAUUAGCAGGAACACCGGUGGCGAAGGCGGCUAUCUGGACAACAACUGACGCUGAGGCGCGAAAGUGUGGGGAGUCAAAACAGG